CCCGCCGAGUUUAAGCAUAUCAAUAAGCGGAGGAAGAGAAACUAACGAGGAUUCCCCUAGUAACGGCGAGCGAACC
rnacentral:rRNA from 1 species